AGCAGCCGCGGUAAUUCCAGCUCCAAUAGCGUAUAUUAAAGUUGUUGCAGUUAAAAAGCUCGUAGUUGAAUUUCGGGAUCAAAUUGUCGGUCGUGCCUCGGUACGUACUGGUAUUAUUGGUUCCUCCCUUCUGAAGAACCGCGAUGUCAUUAAUUUGGUGUCGCGGGGAAUCAGGACUGUUACUUUGAAAAAAUUAGAGUGUUUAAAGCAGGCUCGCGCUUGAAUACAUUAGCAUGGAAUAAUGAAAUAGGACGUUUGAUUCUAUUUUGUUGGUUUCUAGGAUCGACGUAAUGAUUAAUAGGGAUAGUUGGGGGCAUUAGUAUUCAAUUGUCAGAGGUGAAAUUCUUGGAUUUAUUGAAGACUAACUACUGCGAAAGCAUUUGCCAAGGAUGUUUUCAUUAAUCAAGACGAAAGUUGGGAUCGAAGACGAUCAGAUACCGUCGUAGUCUUAACCAUAAACUAUGCCGACUAGGGAUCGGAUGAUGUUAAUUUUUANGUACUUNAUUCGCGCCUUACGGGA
rnacentral:rRNA from 1 species